rnacentral:rRNA from 1 species
AAGGGAAUCUUCGGCAAUGGACGAAAGUCUGACCGAGCAACGCCGCGUGAGUGAAGAAGGUUUUCGGAUCGUAAAACUCUGUUGUUAGAGAAGAACAAGGACGUUAGUAACUGAACGUCCCCUGACGGCAUCUAACCAGAAAGCAACCGCUAACUACGUGCGAGCAGACGCGGUAAUACGUAGGUGGCAAGCGUUGUCCGGAUUUAUUGGGCGUAAAGCGAGCGCAGGCGGUUUCUUAUGUCUGAUGUGAAAGCCCCCGGCUCAACCGGGGAGGGUCAUUGGAAACUGGGAGACUUGAGUGCAGAAGAGAGGAGUGGAAUUCCAUGUGUAGCGGUGAAAUGCGUAGAUAUAUGGAGGAACACCAGUGGCGAAGGCGGCUCUCUGGUCUGUAACUGACGCUGAGGCUCGAAAGCGUGGGGAGCAAACAGG